CAAGCCAUUAUUUGCUGCUGUA
rnacentral:miRNA from 17 species